rnacentral:misc_RNA from 1 species
GAAAUGCGAUACGUGAUGCGAAUCGCAGAGAUCGGCGAGUCAUCCAAGUUUCGAACGCACCCUGCGCUCCCGGUGCUCCUGGGAGCGCGUCCGUCUGAGCGUCGCCCCUUUUACUGCCUCAGUCACCUUUCUCUGGUGAACUGGAUCAUGGCUGCUUCGCUAUUACCUGUGUGGUGGCGUCAGCUUGAGAGCAACGAUGAAAGUGUGACCUCUGAUUGUGUUGGAAGCAAACAGAUGGUACUGCGUUGGCAGCGAGGGGUUCUGCCCCUCCAAGUCCAGCGACUGGUGCUGUUUGUUGUUGCUUGAAAACACUCAGUCAAUGGUGACACAGGCAUCAUAAAGAUGAAAGUGUACCACUAUCUUGGACCGACCUCAGAUCGGGCGCCGUAACCCGCCGAAC